GGCUCAGAUUGAACGCUGGCGGCAUGCCUUGCACAUGCAAGUCGAACGGUAACAGGUCUUCGGAUGCUGACGAGUGGCGAACGGGUGAGUAAUACAUCGGAACGUGCCCGAGAGUGGGGGAUAACGAAGCGAAAGCUUUGCUAAUACCGCAUACGAUCUCAGGAUGAAAGCAGGGGACCGCAAGGCCUUGCGCUCACGGAGCGGCCGAUGGCAGAUUAGGUAGUUGGUGGGAUAAAAGCUUACCAAGCCGACGAUCUGUAGCUGGUCUGAGAGGACGACCAGCCACACUGGGACUGAGACACGGCCCAGACUCCUACGGGAGGCAGCAGUGGGGAAUUUUGGACAAUGGGCGCAAGCCUGAUCCAGCCAUGCCGCGUGCAGGAUGAAGGCCUUCGGGUUGUAAACUGCUUUUGUACGGAACGAAAAGACUCUGGUUAAUACCUGGGGUCCAUGACGGUACCGUAAGAAUAAGCACCGGCUAACUACGUG
rnacentral:rRNA from 1 species